GAACUGAAGAGUUUGAUCAUGGCUCAGAUUGAACGCUGGCGGCAGGCCUAACACAUGCAAGUCGAGCGGAUGAUGGGAGCUUGCUCCUGGAUUCAGCGGCGGACGGGUGAGUAAUGCCUAGGAAUCUGCCUGGUAGUGGGGGAUAACGUCCGGAAACGGGCGCUAAUACCGCAUACGUCCUGAGGGAGAAAGUGGGGGAUCUUCGGACCUCACGCUAUCAGAUGAGCCUAGGUCGGAUUAGCUAGUUGGUGGGGUAAAGGCCUACCAAGGCGACGAUCCGUAACUGGUCUGAGAGGAUGAUCAGUCACACUGGAACUGAGACACGGUCCAGACUCCUACGGGAGGCAGC
rnacentral:rRNA from 1 species